GCAGCGCGGGAGCAAUCCUGGCGGCGAGUGGCGAACGGGUGAGUAAUACAUCGGAACGUGCCCAAUCGUGGGGGAUAACGCAGCGAAAGCUGUGCUAAUACCGCAUACGAUCUACGGAUGAAAGCAGGGGAUCGCAAGACCUUGCGCGAAUGGAGCGGCCGAUGGCAGAUUAGGUAGUUGGUGAGGUAAAGGCUCACCAAGCCUUCGAUCUGUAGCUGGUCUGAGAGGACGACCAGCCACACUGGGACUGAGACACGGCCCAGACUCCUACGGGAGGCAGCAGUGGGGAAUUUUGGACAAUGGGCGAAAGCCUGAUCCAGCCAUGCCGCGUGCAGGAUGAAGGCCUUCGGGUUGUAAACUGCUUUUGUACGGAACGAAACGGCCUUUUCUAAUAAAGAGGGCUAAUGACGGUACCGUAAGAAUAAGCACCGGCUAACUACGUGCCAGCAGC
rnacentral:rRNA from 1 species